AGUUCCCAUAUUCUUCCAAAAUGCAAAGCCGUUUCAUCAAAGCAGAAACGUAUCCGGUAAGUGGAUUUCUUAAAACAGGUCGCGCUUGUAUCGUCACUUCCUCUGACGUCAGCACUGACGUCUUCUUACUUUUAAUCGCCCAUAACAGAAUUUUUACGAAAAUUUACUAUUCUAGCCGCGCCUAUUAUUAUUAUUAGUAUAAUCAAAAUCAUCAUAAACAUUCCAACAUUUAAUCUUAAACCAGUUUUUGUAAAGUGAAUUUCCUUGAGUUCAAUUAUCUUUGCAAUAGUUUAUCUAAGAAAAUAUUUUUCUUCGCCCCCUUAUCUGAAACAGAUGGAACCGCAAACAGAUAAGUUUGCAAACUGUUUGCGACGGAACCGCAAACUUAUAAUCGAUCCUUCGACGCUGACGUCAUUGCAUCGAAAGAUUGCGUCAUUCCGAUUCGGAUACCAAAUCUCAAUCGGCUUUCAAUCUGUAAUCACGUUUUAUGUCCAGGAAGUCGAAUUUUAUCGUUCGAGACUUAGCUAUCCUUCAAUAUUAAAUAUGUUCGACAUAUUUUGCAUUAUUUCUAAAUUUGAUUUUUAGGCUGAUAUCCUUAAGCAUGAUGCGAAAUAGUCCAAAUUUGUCAUCGUUAGUUUUAGCACCGAGGUUUACAUUCAAUGUAAACAGAUUUCGACCAGUAAACAAAUUUAUUUUGAUCACUCCCAAUCUAUACAAUGACGACGAAGGGCGAUGACUCGUUGUUAAAUAUAUUAAAGUGUUGUACCGAAAAUUUAACAAGCUCCAGAAGGCAGAGUUUAGUGUUUGUUACCCAUCGAACUCGAAUGCAAAAAUGUCGAUUGUUUCUAAACGUUCGUUUGUAUGCCUGUGAUGAUAAAUAGUUAAUUCGAUUGAUUGGUUCACAUCGAAACGAAAAACAAAAAAAAAAAAAAAAAAAAACUUGGCGAUUUAACGUUACUUUCAAUAUCAAAAUCGCACAUAU
rnacentral:lncRNA from 1 species